rnacentral:lncRNA from 1 species
UCCCUUCUCAAAUUGGGCACCUGCAACAAGUUUUAGCCUUGAACCUAUCACAUAAUCACUUGUCGGGUCCUAUUCCAAUUACGUUUUCAAAUCUUACCGAAAUAGAGAGCCUUGACUUAUCAUACAAUAACUUGAGUGGUAAGAUACCUUAUGAGCUAACCCAGUUGACCUUUUUAUCAACCUUCAACGUGUCAUACAACAACCUUUCUGGAACACCACCUAGUACAGGACAGUUUGCAACCUUCGUUGAGGACAGCUACAGAGGUAAUCCCGGUCUUUGUGGAUCACUCCUCGACCGAAAGUGUGAAGGUGUCAAGUCUUCACCAUCAUCACAAUCCAAUGACAAUGAAGAAGAGGAAACAAAUGUGGACAUGAUAACAUUUUAUUGGAGGUUUCUACAGCAUCUUACAUAACAAUAUUGUUGGCCUUCGUAACAGUGUUGUGUAUCAAUGCUCGUUGGCGUAUGGCUUGGUUUUAUUACAUUAGUAAGUUUGCACGAUUUUUUUUUCCAACUUUUCCAUUGUACUGAAGAGUGUACGUAGUACCUGUUGAAACUUUACGUGGAGUCUCAAAUAUUUGGAUAUUGUAAUUUUUAUAUUUAUCGUUAAUUUCAGACAGUUUGAUGCUGGACAUGAUUUUAAGCUCUUUUUAUUUUUUCAUUGUUUUUUGUGUGAUGUACUUGUCUGCAGUUGUUUGAUUUGAAGCUAUUGAAUACAUUAUUAUGUUUUUUUCUUUCUUCAUAUUAAUGCUUAUCUAAUUACUCUGUUGUCAGACUCUAAUAGCAAUCAGAAGAAGAAUUGUUGUUGUUUUUUUUAUCUUCAUAUUAAUGCAUAAUCAAUUAGCUAACUGUAUACAUUUGUCAUAGAAUAUCAAAAUUAUGCAGACUCAGAAAUAUUGAAGACUUCAUUAUGAACUUAAUAUCAUGUUAAUAGUCUCAUUGAAAUGUGGUUGUACUUGUACACUUGUACUAGUUAAUUAUGUUAUCAAUUAUCUUAGUACUGGACCUCGACUAAGUAUGAGAAUGAUGUUAGUUUAUUGUAACACGUAUUAUUAUCAAAUCUCUUAUUAUUUGUGGUUUCUUUCAUCCUUUUGUAUUGAAACCAUGUUGUUGAAUCCAAUAGCAGCGAUUUCCGAUUAAGUUGCAUACAACUUCUGUUACCAUCUUUGUCGUCAUAUCAUAUCCAAGAGUUCCUCAAAUAGCUCUGAGACCUGUUUCAAAGAUCCAUCAAAUGACGUUCUGCAGCCAUUGACCCGGCAGCAGCCAUUGAUUCUGUGACAGGCCCUAUGCUAGAGUAUUAUUGAAAAGAUGAAAAGAAAACGAGCAAAAACUGUUUUUUACUCGAGAGCAUGCUCUGUCGAUGGAAUCAUUCCCUUCUAGAGAGCCUUGUGUACAAUACUAACUCCAAUGCCAUUAAUAUUUGCCUUUAGUUUUCUUUUGUCAUUAAUUAAUUCUUCAACCACCAAAUCGGGUCAUGUCUUUAUAAGUCAAUCUCAAAUUAGUCUCUAACUCUAUUAAUAUUUCAAAUUAGUCUCUGUCUUUCUCAAAAGUUUCUAAACCACAUUCCUCGACAUGUGACAAAAACAUAAAGACAAGGACCUAAUUAACAAACUUUUAACAAAGUGCUUUUGUAAGUAAUUCAUUAUGAGACCCUAUGUUUUACGGUUUCUUUCAUAAUGUUAUUGUUUUUCAUUGAAAGGUUUAGCUCUCAUAUUUAACACUUUUGUUGUUUUUUGUUAAAGUAACUUCUUAUAUUUUUCUAAUACCUCGAAUGUCAAUGUAUCUUACUAAUUUGUUUAUAUCCAUGAGAUUACAAUUAGUUGUUGAACCUUGUUUAAGCGUUUUCGUGAGAUCUGUCUGAUUUAAUGAACAGAAUGGCUUUUCCAGGUCGCAUUGAGCAUGGUAUGAGAGGAAGGUUUUGCAUCUUUCUACUAUGGCCUUUGGCCGUCACUUAUUGGAAUAGCUUCAUAUAUUCCAGUUAACUUUUGUGUUUUUGACUUGCGAUCGAGUUUGAGUAAUUGUUUUUGACUAACAUUGAAAUUAAAACAUCAUAACCAUACCAGAGAAGUCGUCACCACCAUGCUUUAAAAAUUCAGCAUCACUUGCAACACAAUGAUGGGAAAUAUUUGAAGCUCAAAUGCUUCAGUGUUCACAUAUAACUGCCAUAUUAAUAUUAUGGUCGAUGCAGGUAAUGGGAAACACAUGAAUCAAAAUUGGCAAAUGAUCAUAUACUUGUUUUUUCAUUGGAAGAUCUUUCUUAUGAUCUGAAUGGCAACUUUACCCAUUCUAGCUAUGGGUAAUCAACGGUGCAAGGCUGCCCCUGAUUGUCUUUCAAAUUCAAACGAGAAUGAAAUGUAGAAAGAGUUUUCAUUUUUAUACAAAAGAGCUUAUUACGCAGUUGCUUGGUUGGAAUUAUUCACAAAUAAUAUAAAAUUUGUUUUGUCAUUCUACUUAUACUAGUUAUUUUGCAAAAACAUAUUAAGAAAUGUAAUUAAUAUUGUAUAUGAAAGAGAUAUUAUCAGUAGUUUUACACAUUUGUCUUAAAAUGAUUGAAAUUAAUAAAUAGGUAAGAGUAUAAUAGGAAAAUUAACAUUAAUGUUACCGUAAAACAACUUAUAAUUUGGGACUAACUUUUUUUUUUUUUCUUUUUUUUUUUUCAAAAUUAUAAUUUGAGAUGGAGAGAGUAUUAAUUAAACUAGUAAUGUUAACAUACGUACGUAUAUUUAGUCUUGCAAGCAGCAAGAUAACAUUAGCAUCUUUGUCAAAUGUCAUAUUCUCUAGUCAACUCCAAGUCUUUCUUGUGCUUCAAGGAAGUUUCUUGGAAUUGAAAAGUCCCAUCUUUGUGUAUACAUGAAUUUGGGGCAAGACUGAAAAGUCCCAACAUAAUGAUUCUUGCCGGAAAGAAAGACACUUACAAAACUAAAUGAUAUGUUAUCAUAAUUUUCCGGUAACAUUUUCCACUUCCUAUUAGUUUAAUUUAUAUGCACAGCCAAUUUAAAGAUUUUUUACACUUGCAAUUGUCAUAUCAUUGAAAUCAUUUAACUUCAAUGAUAACUACUUCUAAAGUUGUACAUAUAAUUAAUUGUGAUUUGUUAAUAAUAUAAUUUUUUUUUUUUUUAAAUUGACGGUGUAUAUCAAAAUUAACUAUGGCUACAUCAAGGUUUGUUAUAUCAUAGUUUAAAAAGUGAAUACUUUUUCCUCUCCUCACUGAUUCCUUAUAUUUUUCAAUGUAGGCAGGAACCGAAAGUUUUCAGUUUGAUGAGAACAUAGAACAGGAAUGGAAAAUUCAAAUACAAAAUUUAGGCAAUGGCUAAAACAGCAUUUUAAGUAUAAUAGAUGGAAAAAAAAACUUAUAAUAGAAGGAAAAAAUUAAGAUUUAUUGAUACUGGAAAAAAUUAAGAUUUAUUGAUAUUGCAAAAUGAUAUAUAAAUUGGGAGAAAAAAAAAAAGUAAAUGGGAGAAUUUUACUUCUUAUAACUUUAAACUUAUUUGACGCUGGUUAAACUAUUUUUAAUGACCGAUGUUAGUAUACUUAAUUAUUACUUACUAUCCUAUUUGUUUGAGGGAGAAGUUGAGCAAAUGACCUCUUUACCACUCAAAUACUUACAUCCUUCCGUUAAACUACCAAACAAAGACCCCUAUAUGGUUACUAUAUUGAAAGCAACAACUAACUACUAAUGUUCACAUACAUAUUUAAUAUCAUGCAAGAUAAGUUUAGCAUCUUUCUCAAAUGUCAUCAUCUCUAGUCAACUCCAAGUCUUUCUUGUGCUUGGUGGAAGUUUCUUGUAAUAGAUAAUAUCCCAUAAUUUUAGUGUAUAUAAUGUAUAUGAGGUGAUUAUAGGAUUCGGACCAAAACUGCACACAAUACCCAUACAUUUCUCAAAAAUGAAGUUGGGUUUGAUAAUUAGUUCCCUUUUAUAUUUUGUGAUUUUAAUGUUAAUUCAAAAUCAAGGAUGUAACGGAUGCUUAGAGAAAGAGAGAAUAGGGUUGUUGGAGAUCAAGCACUACAUCUUGUCACAAGACGAAGGAUAUUCUUACCAUAGCACAGAAGAGUAUUCUUAUAAUAUCAAAGAAUUGGGUUCAUGGGUUGAUGAUAGAGAUAGCAAUUGUUGUUCUUGGAAAAGAGUCAAGUGCUCUAACACCUCUUCUGGUCACAUAACUGAAUUAUCCCUUUACUUGUUACUAUUUGAGACCCCUGAUUCUAAGAUGUUAAAUGUUUCAUUGUUCCGUCCAUUUGAAGAGCUACGCCUCCUUGACUUGUCCUAUAACUCCUUUCAAGGUUGGAUUGGCAAUGAAGGUACUACGUUGGCCCUUAUAUAUAAAAUUUCUUUAUUAAACUUAUACAAAUUAAAAAAGUUCUUUAAUUUUUAUUUGUUGUGUUAAAUUUGUUAACAUUUUAAUUUAUAUUAAAAUUUCUUUAUUAAACUUAUACAAAUUAAAAAAGUUCAUUAAUUUUUAUUUGUUGUGUUAAAUUUGUUAACAUUUUAAUUUAUAUUAUCCCCGUGAGCUUAACUCAGUUGGUAGGGAUAUCGCAUAUUAUAUGCAGGGGCCGGGGUUCGAACCCCGACACUCCACUUCUCCACAAUUUAAUUGUGUGAGCUCUUGCCAUUAGGCUACUUGCACUACAAGAAACAUUGCAUUUUGCCAGGGGCAAAAUCCCUGAGAAAAUGACAGAAUCCCUGAGAAAAGGGACAUUUAUGAGGGAAUUUGCCAGGGGCGGAAACCCUGGCAAAACAGCUCAUCGCUAACAUUUUGUGAGGGGUUACACCCCUGGAAAAAAAACGAGGGGCUAAACCCCUGACAAACUGCGUCACUUAAACCCUGUCUUAUUCCCUGGCAAAAUUCGUCACUUUUGUCUGCAACUAUGCAGGUCUGCUCUGACUUGACUGCUGACUGACGGAAUGUCAAAUCAGCAGGGUAACUUAAGCCAAGGCCUUUGCGAGUGGUAUAACCCCUGGCAAAUGGUAUAUUAAUUUUUUUAAAAAACUGGUUUUAUUUUUUAAACUGAUUUUUUAAUUAUUAAUUAAAUGUUUUUAAAAUAAUUUUAAUUAAUGAAAUGUUAUUUAAAUUAAAUUAAAAAUUGUAUUUUUUUGUCAAAGUUGUUUUUGAAAAAAAUGUAUAUUUAAAGUUGUUUUCAUAUUGGCAUAUAAGAUCCUUCAAAAAAAUAUUGGCAUAAAAGAUAUUUAUAAAUUUAUUAAUUAAAUUGAGUUAAUUUUAUCCACAUGUAAAAAUUGUAUUGUCUGGUUGUUAAAAUGAACGAAAUGUUAAGAAAAUCAUAAGGAUUGAUAUAACACACAUUUUAAUAUAACAACUACAUUUACUAUAGAUUGAAUUUUCGUUAUUGAGUCUUAACAAUUUUAUUUUAAAAGAUGGUUUUAGUAUUAUGUAGUCAUUUUAUGACAAAACACAAUUGUUAUCAAUAUUGGGCAAAGAUAAUAGACAACCGAUUUUUUUCUUUCCAGAUCUAAGAGCAACACUAAAAAGAUCACACAACAAUAAGACAAGAAAAUGAUUACAAAAAAUGCCAUGACCAUCAUCUUCCUUUUGAACCAGUAAUCGCUAUGAAGGUCAUGCUUGUAAUAGGAAAGAAAAAAUGCAGCAAUAUAAAGAGAAGUUCAUGGGUAAAAGUACUAGCUUGACACCCUAACUAGAAAGAUCACGUGUAAAAGAAGGAGCAUGAAGAAGGUGCUAAAUUGAAAAUAGAAAGAAAAACAAGAAGAAGCUUUCAUGAGUAAAACAAUGAUUAAUGGAAAUAGAGUGUAAGAACUAAGAACCAUAGCAGCAACGUCUUCAUUAGCGGUUUCAGACUUCAGAGUGAUUUUCAAAUGGAUAUGAUGCAUAUGGUGUGUUAGUGGUAAUGGUCACCAAAUGGAUAAAAACAUAAGUUGUGGACAUAUUUGGUGAUAUAUAAAAUUGAAGGUACACGGUUUGGCAAUGGUGCAGGAAUAUGCCACGGCCGUACAGCAAUAUCCGAGGGGUAAAACCCCUGGCUUGCUGGCAGCACAGUUUUUGCAGCAGGUUUUGUCAAGUCAAAACAGCAGGUUUUGCAGGGAAUCCCUUCUUUUGGCUAAGUUUUUUUUUUGAAAAAGCUGCACAACUAGAUUUUUUGAAUUUCAAGUUUGGCGCUCAAAUUAAAGACAGGGGUUGUGUCUUUUUGCCCGGGGCAAACCCCUGUCUUAUGGUAAGUGGUCCUCGCAUUUCUUAAAGUCCAUUUGUGAGGGGUUUCCUUGACAUUUUUCAUGGCAAAUUUGCUAGGGGUUUUAUGUCCCUGGCAAAAUUCUUGGCAAAUGGUCAUUUUUCUUGUAGUGUUGAACCAAAAAAAAAUAAAUAAAUAAAUAAUUCAUAUUGUCAUAAUUAGCAAUAAUUGACCGGUGAGUUUAAGUUUUCUAAAUAAGAUUAUUAUUUUACAACAUAAAAAAUCAAUGUACAAAUCUCAAUUAAGAGAGAUGUCAGUACUUUCUAUUUACAAUAUCUUAUAUACGAAUCAAAAAAAAAUAUAUGAAUUCUUUGUCAGAUGGUCUUACUAAAUUUGGUGGGAUCAAUAUAAAUUUCAACCAAUACAAACAUAAGUGUUGUAAAUAGUACUCUCUCCGUCCCUAUAUGUAACCUCCUUUUGCAUUUUUCAUAUUUUUUAAUAAAGUUUUCGGUGUAAUUAAUAUGUCUGUUUUGUGCGUUAAUAUUACUAAAUUGUCAUUUGUUUGUAUGUGUAUUAAAUUUAAUUUUUCAUAUUUCAAUACAAGCUAGUAGUAUUAAUUAAGGGUAUGUUUAGAAAAAAAAAAAAAAAUGCAUCUAGUAAUAUGAAAACGGGUUUACAUUUAGAGACAAAAAUAAAAUCAAAUUGGUGCUUAGAUAUAGGGACGGAGGAAGUAUAUCACUAGCAUAAUUAAAAGAUGGUCUCAUAGCUUUCUCUGUUUCUUUCAAACUAACUUACUAUGCUUCUUUUGAAGGUUUUCAAGGAAUUAAAAUGGUGGAGACAUUAGACCUUUCAAGGAACCAUCUAAAUAGUAGCAUCUUAUCAAGUUUGAAUAAUGGAUUAACGGCUCUAACAACUUUGAACCUCGGUAAUAACAAAAUAGAUAAUAACUUCUUCGCUCAAGGUACAAUUUGUUUGUAUAAUUUAUUUACGGGAAAUGUUAAUAAGUGCCCUCAAGACAUUUGAUAAAAAGACUAAAGAAGAAAUGUUAUCUUGGAAAUGGUGCAUUCAAUGUAUUGAAAUUUUAAAAUAUAAUUUUUUCUACUUAAAAUUCAUCAAUUAUUUCUAUUUAUGUAUUCUUAAAAAGUGUCCUGAGGCCAUUUGUUAACAAGGAUUUUUAUUCAUUUUUGUACUACAUACGAUGGAUAUGACUGCUUGUUUGAAUCUUGUAUGUUUUAUCAAUCAGCAAUGCAACUUUAGUACUUAUAUAUAAGACUUAGUUAACAAAUUUAAAAAGUUUGUUAAUUUUGUAUUUUUUUGUGUGUUAAAUAUGCUAACAUUUUAAUAUUAAUUUUAAAAAGUAUAAAUAAUUGACAAUAUAAAAUAGAUAUCGGUAGAACACAAAAAAAGAAAAUAGAUGUCUGUAUUUAGUAUUUACAAUAUCUUGCAUAUGGAUGAAUGAAAGAAUUCUUUUAUAUAUGUGAUUGAAAUAUAUGAAUUCUUUCUAUCUCUAUAUUUAUCUAGAAUAUCAAUAGGUCUUAUUAAAUUUGGUGGGAUUAGUAUAAAUUUUGACCAAUACAAAAAUAAGUGUUGUAAAUAAUACGGUAAAUUCCUUAAAAAAAAGUAAAUAAUACGGUAAAUGUUAUGUCAUUAGCAUAAUUAAAAAAUAAUUAAUACAAGAGAGAUAAUUUUAACGAGGAGUUGCCCUCCGUCUGGCAUGAAAUUUCUCAUUCUAAGAUAUAAGCUUGGAAUUUAAUUUCGAAUCUUCCAUUUUUUUUCUUUUUCUUUUUUCCCCGUAACAUUGUAACACUAUAAAUUUUUUGGGUUAAUAGGCUUUUACCCCCCUGCCAUUUGGGCGUCUUUUGGUUUACCCCCCUACAAAAAAAAAACUUGGAGAUUCCCCCUUGCAAAAUGAAGAUUCUUUGGUUUUGGACCCUGAGUCCAUCUGACUGUGUAAUUUAGUUGAUGUGGCGUGCUGACUGUGUAACGAUGGAUGAAGUGGCACUGACACGUCAUAAUUUUUAUUUUUUUAUUUUUAAAAUUAUGUUAAAAAUGUGAAAUACCUAAAAUACCCCUAAUGAUAAAUUAAAAAUUCCAAAUCUUUUUCUCCCCUUCUUCUCCUCCAGCAGCGACCCUCUUCUUCUAUUCUUCUCUACUUCAUCAUCUACAUCAACACAACAAACACAACAACACAACAAUUCAACACAACAACAACAAACAUCUUCUUUUCAAACUCACAACAACACAUCAUCAACAACAUCCCAAAUCACAAAUCACAAACAUUCAUCUUCUCACCCAUAAAAGCAAAAGAGUCUCAAAAUAGGUCUGAAAAUUCUAACCCAUAAAUCCGAAGAAAAAAAUCCGAAAAAUGUUAUUGAUGUUGUUUAUGGGUCGAAAAAUGGGUUUGAUAAAAAAUGGAUUGUUGUUGUUUGAAUCUCAAUAUGUUGUAUUUGUUUGUGUGUUAUUGUUGUUUGAUUGGAUCCAAAAGUUGUUUUGAUUUGUAUUGUUUAUGUUUUUGGCUAUGUUUUUGCCCAGAGAAGAGAAUAGGAAGGAGGAAAUGGGAAUGAGAGAGAAGGGAGUAAAAAGAAGAACAUGGAGAGAAGGAAGAAUGGGGACGAGAGAGAGAGAAGGAAGGAGGAAAUGGAGGAGAAAAGAAAAAAUAUAUUUUUUUUAAUGUUUUUAAUUUAUAAAAUUAAGUUUUUAAUAAAAGAAAUUCAAAUAGAGAAAAAAAUAAUUGGAAAAGAAAUAAAAAAAAAGCCACGUCAGCAUGCCACCUCCUUAAUUAUGCACAAUCAGCGUGCCACAUCAUCCCAUUAAUCCAGUCAUAUGGUUUGGGGGGCGUAAACCAAAGAAUCUUCAUUUUACAGGGGGAAUCUCCUAAGUUUUUUUUUGAUAGGGGGGUAUACCAAAAAACUCCAAAAUGGCAGGGGGGUAAAAGCCUAUUAACCCAAAUUUUUUUUUGAGAAAUAUAUAAAUCUUUCCAUAAACGUAGCUCAAUUGAUCGGAACAUUGCAGUAUGUUAGGGUCGGUGUUUGAAUCCUUAUUCUUCAUUUAUUUACCUCAAGAUGUGAAUUUAUAGCUAAUAAAUUACUUGACAAAAAAAAGAUAAAUAAAUUGUUAAUAUGUCACACGCACUUGGUCAUUAAAUUCUUUUUUUUUUUUUUUGACAAAUAGUCAUUAAAAUUCAUGGAACCCACGUUAUGAAGUUUUUUUAAAGAGGUUCACAAGUUGAUUUGGAGAAUUUGAAGAUAUAAAUCUCAAAUAUUAAUAUUAUUUAGGCGUUAGACUAUUUUCUUCUUAAAUUAACAAUAACUAAAAUUAAUUUGUGAAAUGAACUUUUUUUUAAGUCACGUUUGUUUUUUAUUGCCAAUUCGGUCUUUAAGAUAGUCUCAGAUAUUGAUUGAUACUAUGAAAGUGUUUUUAAUUUUAUAAUGAUUUCAUUAAUUCUUUAAUUUUAUAAUGAUUUCAUAAAUUCUUUAAUUUUAGGAUCGACCUAUGUAAUUUUUUAGACAAACUGAGUGGUUUGUUUUUCUAUUUCACAUGACUCGCUGUUUUUUUUUUCCCCUUCAUUUUUCGUGACUUUUAUUUCUCUUUUGAAACAAGUGUAGAAAUAAACUCUUAAUUAACAAGAAACUGUUUUCAUUAAUCAAAGAUUGUGUAGAAAGUAAAUGGCAUCACUAUACAACAUAUUUGUUAUCAAAUGUAAACUUCUCAUAGCUUAGUAUGCUUGUUUUGAAGGUUUUCCAAGACUUGAAAAAUUGGAGACAUUAGACCUUUCAGACAACUAUUAUCUAAACAGUAGCAUUUUGUCAAGUUUGAAUGGAUUGACUGCUCUAACAACUUUGAAGUUGGGUUCUAAUUCAAUGAAAAACUUCUCUGCUCAAGGUACAUUUUGUUUCAAUAAUUUAUUUGUGGAGUUUAUGUGAUGAAGUGAAUGAAUUAGAAGACAAUUAUAAGAUCUCGAAGAAAAUAUUAAUUUUUAACGAUAAUAAGAGACUUUAAAUAAAAUGAAAAACUGGUUAUGAAUCAUUGGUAGGAAUUGAAAUUAAUUAACAAAAGCUUUUCAUUAUGUAUAUUGUUGAAGGAUUUUCGAGAUCAAAGGAGUUGGAGGUCUUAGACCUUUCCCAUAAUGAGCUAAACUGCAAUAUCAUAACAAGUUUGUAUGGUUUCAUAUCAUUAAGGAGUUUGAUUUUGAGAGAUAACAAGUUCAAUUGUUCUCUCUCCACUUUAGGUACGCAUCUUCAAAUAAUAUAUUAUGGCAAAUGUUUUUAGUUUCAUUUAAAAAAAAAAGUAUUAUGUCCUUGCAACAGAUUUUGCCAAAUUUAGUCGGCUAGAACUAUUGGACUUGGAUGGUAAUCAAUUUAUUGGUUCACUACAUGUUGAAGGUACUUUUACUAUUAUUUUUGUUUCAACUACUAUUUAUGGUUACAAAGGAACACAAAAUUUAUUACCACUAUUUAUGGAAAAGAUUUUAUAGGAAAAUUUAUUCUGUUUGAGAAAUUCAGACAUUGUUUAGGAGUUAGCAGUUUGUUUAUAAAUCAUAUUCUCAAUAGAGGCUCUAAGUUAAUGAGUUUACAAUCUUUAAUUAAAUUCAAUAAAAUAAUUCUAAUUAAAUAUGUUUUGCCACUCUCCACAUAAUACUCUUUGCACACUCUAGCGCCUUAGCUUCUAUUAUCUCUUGGGAAAGAAGGAAGAUAAUAGAAGUUUCAUAAAUUUUUUUGUAAUGAAUGGUGAAGUUUCAUAAGGUUGAUCACCAAUGUGAUAUUGGCUAUUGUUGAAACCCAAUGGUGAAAUGAACCGGAGCUUUUGUAUUUCCUAACAUAGUAUGCCGAGCUGAAUGAUUCCCAUAUACCAAUUUGUCAUCAAGGAUUCUCCAAGAAUUUGGUCUCCAUGUCAAUCAGCUCUGACACAAAGGCCUCUUCUUUAAAUUUCUUAGUUCUUACAGAUUUAUUGAAUAUUAUAUCUCUAAAUAUGUACUUUUUUUUUUUUUUUCUUUUUUGCAGAUGUUCAACACUUGAAAAAAUUGAAAAUGUUAAGUUUAAGCUAUAAUCAAAUGAACGGCUCAAUUGAAGGUAUCAAUACUAUCAAACAUAAAUAAUUAAUUGGUUUGAUUUGUAAAUUAAUAUAUAUAUAUAUAUAUAUAUAUUGAGUCCAUUGGAAAAACUUUAAGAUUUUUAUGAUAAUGUCAAUUUUUGUAAAGAUAACUGGACAUAGUUAAUUAUGACAGGACUAUGCAAUUUGAAGGAUUUGGUAGAACUGGAUAUCAGCAAAAACAUGUUUGGGGCUAAACUUCCUGAGUGUUUAAGUAACUUAACAAACCUCAGAAUUCUUGACCUUAGCCAUAAUCUAUUCAGUGGAAAUUUUCCAUCCUUCAUUAGUAAUCUCACAUCCUUGACAUUCUUAUCACUCUAUGAAAAUUACAUGCAAGGAUCAUUUUCACUUAUCAUUUUGGCUAAUCACUCCAAUCUUCAGCAUCUACAUAUUUCAUCGAAAAACAGCACUGGAGUACACAUUGAAACUGAAAAAACAAAGUGGUUUCCUAAAUUUCAAUUGAAGUCCCUCAUUCUUAGAAAUUGCAACCUAAACAAGGACAAAGGAAGUGUCAUUCCUACUUUUCUUUCUUAUCAAUAUAAUUUGAUACUGAUGGACCUCUCUAGCAACAAUAUUGUUGGCUCACUCCCAAGUUGGUUGAUAAAUAAUGAUGCCAUACAAUAUUUGGAUCUAUCAAACAACAAUUUUAGUGGUUUGCUUCCAGAAGAUAUAUUCCUUCCAAGUAUUACCUAUUUGAACUUUUCAUGGAAUAGCUUUGAAGGAAAUAUACCUUCAUCAAUUGGUAAGAUGAAAAAUCUUGAGUACUUUGACCUCUCUCAUAAUAAUUUCUCAGGUGAGUUACCUAAACAACUGGCCACAUAUUGCGAUAAUUUACAAUACUUGAUUCUCUCCAACAACUCUCUACGUGGGAAUAUUCCUAAAUUUGUGAGUAUGGAAGUUUUAUUACUGAAUAAUAACAACUUUAGUGGAACACUUGAUGAUGUAUUGGGAAAGGGAAAUAAUACAAGAAUACUAAUGCUAUCCAUAUCCAAUAACUCGAUCACAGGCAGAAUUCCUAGUUCAAUUGGGAUGUUUUCUAACAUGUAUGUCCUUCUUAUGUCUAAAAAUCAAUUAGAAGGUCAGAUCCCUAUUGAGAUUUCCAACAUGUCCAGUCUUUAUAUUUUGGAUCUUUCUCAAAACAAGUUAAUUGGAGCAAUCCCAAAGUUCACAGCUGGAUCUCUGAGAUUCUUGUAUUUACAACAGAAUGAUCUCUCUGGAUUUAUACCAUUUGAACUCUCUGAAGGCUCAAAACUACAACUUCUAGAUUUGAGGGAGAACAAACUUUCAGGUAAAAUUCCCAACUGGAUGGAUAAGCUCUCAGAGUUGAGGGUUCUUUUAUUAGGAGGGAACAAUUUUGAAGGAGAAAUUCCAAUUCAAUUUUGUUGGUUCAAAAAGAUCGACAUAAUGGAUCUAUCACGGAACAUGCUCAAUGCUUCAAUACCAUCUUGCCUCCAAAAUAUGUCAUUUGGAAUGAGACAAUAUGUUCAUAAUGAUGAUGAUGACGGUCCUAUUUUUGAAUUCUCAAUGUACGGAGCUCCUACAGAUAUUUCCUUCAAUGCUAGUUUGUUGAUUCGACAUCCAUGGAUUGGAAAUUCGUUGAAAGAAGAACUACAAUUUGAAGUGGAGUUCAGAACAAAGCACAAUGAAUACUCUUACAAGGGUAUAGUUCUAGAGAAUAUGACUGGAUUGGAUUUAUCAUGCAAUAAGCUAACAGGUGUCAUCCCUUCUCAAAUUGGAGACCUACAACAAAUUAGAGCCUUGAAUCUAUCACAUAAUCACUUGUCUGGUCCCAUUCCAAUCACUUUUUCAAAUCUUACCCAAAUAGAGAGUCUUGACUUAUCAUACAAUGACUUGAGUGGUAAGAUACCCAAUGAACUAACCCAGCUAAACUUUUUGUCAACCUUCAAUGUGUCAUACAACAACCUUUCUGGAACACCACCUAGUACAGGACAAUUUGGAGGCUUUGUUGAGGAAAACUACAUAGGUAAUCCUGGUCUUUGUGGACCAUUCGUCAAUCGAAAGUGUGAACAUGUCGAGUCUUCAGCAUCAUCACAAUCCAAUGACGACGGAGAAAAGGAAACCAUGGUGGACAUGAUAACUUUUUAUUGGAGUUUCACAGCAUCUUACAUAACAAUAUUGUUGGCCCUCAUAACAGUUUUGUGCAUCAAUCCACGUUGGCGUAUGGCCUGGUUUUAUUAUAUCAGUAAGUUUAUGCGUAGAUUUUUUCCAACUUUUCCAUUGUAUUGAAGAGUGUCCAUAGUUUAAACUUUAUGUGGAGUCUCAAAUAUUUGGAUAUUGUAAUUUUUACCUUUAGCUUUAAUUUUCGAGAUGUUGAGACUUGAGAAAUUGAAUGUUCAGUUCCUUUUGUCAACUUUAUGAUCAUCGUGUUGUUUGUGUGAUGUAUUUAUCUGGAGUGGUUUGGAGGCAUUGUUAUAUAUUAUUGUAUUAUUUAGCAUUUUGAACCUAUGGGUCGUGCAUGAUGAAAACAUUGCUUAGUCUAUAAACAAAAUGAACAAUAAAUAUAGAGAACGCAACAUUAGCAGAACCAUAUUUUUUUGGCCUUGGUAUCCUUUCGUCGUCUCUGUAUUUCCUUAAGGAACAUUAAGUUUAAUCCUAAAUAGAUUUUUUGUGAAAAACUACGUGCAAUGUUUGAUGUUCUUGUAUGAAAUUGAAUGAUUCUACAGCUAAGACCAUAAUUAAUUUGACGAUGCUUUAUGAAAUUUGGUACCUUGAUCUUGUGGUUGUCACUUGUGGUUAAUGUUUCUUUGAACCAAUAGCAAACAACACAAUUCAUUCCAAAUUCGCCUCCGCUUAACAAACCGAACAACGAACUUGCGACGACGGCUCAGCUUCUAAACCGAACAGCAUUGUUCUUUUUGCCAUUUAUGAAACGACAUUGCUUUUGGUAGAUUCACGGAGUUGGAAUUGGACAAUGCUUAAAAUUGAACAUUUUAGGGACCAAAUUAAGUAUUGGCAGUUGAAUUGAAUUAUGUAAAUGCUUAAUAAAAUAGGUUUGUUUCUUGUCAGUGGUUAAUAAGUUGUGAUCACCCCUUAUGCAGAUCUUGUUAUGUUAAUAAUCUCAAUGAAAUGGGGUUGUACACUUACUAUUUAUGCUUUCAUAAUACUGGACCUUGAUUAAUUUAAGUAUGAGAAUAAUGAUGUUAGUUUACUCAAAUUGAUGUUUUAAUUUUAAAAGAAUUUGCAAAUACUUGCAUUAAGUUGCAUACAACUUAAGUAUUUUCAGCCAUGAACCCGGUAGCAGCCAUUGAUCCUGUGAUAGACCCUAUGCUCUGUCGAGGGAAUCAUUCCCAUCUACAACUGAAAAUCAGUCUAUCGAUUGUGAGUAAAUAUCCAGAACGUACCCCUCCUUCUCGAGCCACGUCUAUUUAUAUCCCAAGUACACCCUUGUGUACAAUAGUAACUCCAAUUUAACUUACUAAAAUGCAGGUCUUGCCAAACUUUUUUGAAAAAAGUUAACAGAAGAACAACUCUGCUUUACGAAAAAAAAUACUUUACUGUGACUUCUUUUGAAGAAUAAAAAAUACAUUAUAGUCGAAUUAUUUGAAUUAUUAACAAAUGUAUAAGAUUAAUUAAUACCCUUAUUUGUGCAAAAACUGCAACAUUCCUUUUAGUUGUUAUAGUAAUCAGUGGUAAGCACACACUGGGGAAUAGAAUAGUUUAAGUUUAUAUGCUUCAGUGUUCUUGUGUGAAUACCAUGUUAAGUUUUUGGUUGAUGCAAGUAUUGUGGCACAAGAUGGAGCUAUUGGCUUAAACCGAGGAUUCAUGCCCAAAACAUUAAAAAUCCGAUUAUGUUUCCUUAAAUUCCGAUUUUGUUGAUAUUUUAUACUUAAAUUACAUCUUAAAAAAUAAGCAGAUAAAACUCUGUUUCAAACAAGAGAUUGCUAUUCUCAUUCCAUUAAGAACAAAUACUCACAACAACAAGAGAUUGUGAUUAGUUACCUGGCCUAUGUCUAAUUUAUUUUUCCGUACUACAUAUGACAUUGUCAAAUGUCUGAUUGCAGCUAGUGAGAAAGAGUUUCAAACAAUCGCUGAGGAAAACCGCAACAAACAAAAGAAAAACACAUAGUCAAUGAUGGUGAACUUAAGAAUGAUUUUGUUUUUGCCAUUUUUUACUGCUAUUAUUUGUGGGAGUUACUUUUGCCAAACUGCUACGAGUGAUAUAUCUCAGAAGGGGCUGUAAAAUUUGUAGGACACAAGUUUGUUCUAGGUGCACUAUUCUCUUGAAAAUCAAACAAAUAAUUGAGCAUAGUUGUUAAAAUCGUUCAGAUACAACCCUCAUUGUUAAUACAAGACACAUGGCUUGAUUAUUCAUUGUACUACUAAUAUGACUCCAUACCUAUGAAGCAUGGAUAUAGACGGACACGACACACAAUGACGCACCAACAUUGAUAAUAUUUUGAGAAAAUAACAUAAUUCAAUGUAAUAAUAUAUGCGUGUCAAUGUGUCCUACUUCAUAAUACACUUAAUCCCAUGAGUGUUUGUGCUUGAUAGCUCUUUACAUCUCUAUGAAUUAGAAUAUGUAGAUAGCAAAUGUCUUUUAAAGAUAAUGAACAUGUUCGUACUAUAUAUAAUCUGAAUCGGGAACAAUUUGUUUGGAAUAUAUAAUACGAACGGGUUCAGCAUUCAAUAAAAAAAAUCAAAUCAACUAAUUUUUUUUAUAAGGAAUGAGAUUUUACCUUGUGCUUGGUGUUUGAAAAAGCUUGAAAUGGUAUCUUUGGGUAUAAGUUUACCCUUCAAAAGAGAGAGUUUAUUUAAGUUCCCAUGAGGAUAUCUUUGGGUGCCAACUGGAGUUAAAGAUCUUAAUUACGGAGCGUUAGUCAAAAAGAAAGAGGUAGUACUUUGGUGGUAUAUUGAUAAAGAAAUAUUUAAUACACUUGAAAAUCCAAAGAUGGUCUUAUAAAGAAAAUGACAAGAAUUUUUUUUCCAAAUGGGAUGUAUAUUUUUUACUUAAUUUAAAUACUUGAUAAUCUAAUUGUUUUCUUUGAUAUCUAAUAUUUUAGAAAUCAUCUCCAUCAUAUCGAAAUUUACACUAGUGUUUCAAAUUGUAGACCACAUGUUCAAAUUGAAAGCAACUACACUAAACUAAUGUUCGUACAAGUGUUUAAUUGCAUACAUGAUAUGUUUAGCAUUUUGUUAAUGUCAACUAUAAGUCAUUCCAUGUAGCUUCGAGGAGGUUUCUUUGUAGUGAAAAUUAAUGUCUCAUCUUUUAGUGUAUAUAUAAUAGGAGAAUGUUAAGGUGCUCUUUAGGGCAUUGGUUAACCAACCAAAACAAGUAAUUUUUUCACAUAAGAUGUAAAAGAGGCUAUAGAUAUUUUAGGGUUAGAGAUAUUUUAGGGUUUCAUUCCAUGAUAUCUUCCUUUCUUUAUGUAAAAAGGUUAGAGAUAUUUUAGGGUUCUAUAGAGAGAAGAUGUGUAAAUUAAAACCAUAAUUUCCAUCACUUUGUUAUUUAUUUUUGACAGGUUCAUCACAUGUCAUAACCCAUAAUACCAAGGGAAUCUCUUUUUAUAUAUUAUUCUUCAUAGGCCAUAAAUGUCUGAAGGUGCAUAAACAUUAAAAUGGAAAAAAAGUUAAUUAUUGAAACUUUUUGUCGGUUUAACUAUAUAUAACUGUAAUCAUACUUGACUAUGAUUCAAUAUUGAAGGCAAUUACACGUGUUUGUACAAGUGUUUAAUUGCAUGCAUGAUAAGUUUAGCAUUUUUGUCAACUGUAAGUCAUUCCAUGUGCUUUCGAGGAAGUUUCUUUGUAAUGAAAAUUAAUUACUCGUAUUUUAAUGCUAUAUAUAAUAAUAUAGGGUUUUUAUUGUAUUGAUUGUAGAAAUUUGAGGUAAAACAAGUAACAUAAUAUAAAAAAAUGAAGUUGGGUUUGAUAUUCAGUUCCCUUUUAUAUUUUGUGAUUUUAAUGUUAAUGCAAAAUCAAGGAUGUAAGGGAUGCUUAGAGAAGGAGAGAAUAGGGCUGUUGGAGAUCAAGCACUACAUCUUGUCACAACAAGACAAAGGAGAUUCUUAUAAUAACAAAGAAUUGGGUUCAUGGAUUGAUGAUAGAGAUAGCAAUUGUUGUGUUUGGAAUAGAGUCAAGUGCUCUUUUGGUCACAUAGUUGAAUUAUCCAUCUAUAGUUUACUAUAUUUGUUCCCUGAUCCUAAUAUGUUAAAUGUUUCAUUGUUCCGUCCAUUUGAAGAGUUACGUCUCCUCGACUUGUCCAAGAACAAUAUUCAAGGUUGGAUUGACAACGAAGGUACUACUUUGGUCCUUAUAUAAGAGUUCUUUAACAAAUUUAUACAAAUUAGAAAAGUUGGUUAAUUUUUAUUUAUUGUGUUAAAUUUGUUAAAAUUUUAAUUUGGUCUCUAACAUAGUCUCAGAUACUAAUUUUUUAUACAUUCUUUAAUUUUAGGAUCGAGCUCUGUAAUUUUUUAGGCCAAUUGAGUGAUUAAUUUUUCUAUUUUAUUGUUCUCUUUCAUUUAUUAAUUUUUCUAUUUCACGAUUCACUGUUUUUUUUUUCUUCUUUCAUUUUUCAUGACUUUUGUUUCCAUAUUGUAACAAAUUUAAAAAUAAACCAUUGACAUAAACAUUUUUCAUUAAUCAAAAGAUUGUGUAUUCUUAUUUCCAUAUUGACAUAAACAUUUUACGAUGAUUUUAUAAAUUCAAAAGAUUGACUUUUGUUUCCAUAUUGUCAUCUUUCAUAGCUAGCUUCCUCUGUUUCUUUGAAACUAACUUAUUAUGCUUCUUUUGAAGGUUUUCCAGGACUUAAAAGUUGGAGACAUUAGACCUUUCAAAUAACUAUCUAAAUAGUAGCAUCUUAUCAAAUUUGAAUGGAUUAACGGCUCUAACAACUUUGAACCUCGGUUAUAACAAUAUAGAUAAUAACUUCUUCUCUCAAGGUACAAUUUGUUUCUAUAAUUUAGUACUUAUUUAUAAGACUUAGUUAACAAAUUUAAAAUUUUUGUUAAUUUUGAUUUUUUUGUUGUUUUAAAUAUGCUAGCAUUUUAAUAUUAAUUUUAAAAAUUAGAAUUAAUUGACAAUAUAAAAAUAGAUACCGGUAUCUAGUAUAUCAAUAGGUCUUAUUAAAUUUGGUGGGAUUAGUAUAAAUUUCGACCAAUACAAAAACAAGUGUCGUAAAUAGUACAGUAAAUUGUUUUUUUUUUAAGGAAGUACGGUAAAUGUUAUGUCACUAGCAUAAUUAUAAAAUAAUUAAUAUAAGAGAGACAAUUUUAAUGAGGCCUUUUUUUUUUUGUCAAGUAGUCUAGUGUUAGAGCUCACACAAUUUAAUUGUGGAGAAGUGGAGUGUCCGGGGUUCGAACCCCGGCUCCUGCAUAUAAUAUGCAAUAUCCUUACCAACUGAGUUAAGUUCACGGGGAUUUAAUGAGGUCUUUUAUAAAGGGAGAAAUAUAUAAAUGUUUCCAUAAAUGUAACUUAAUUGAUCGGAACAUUGCAAUAUGUUAUGGUCGGUGUUUGAAUCCUUAUUCUUCAUUUAUUUACUACAAGAGAUGAAUUUAAUAAAUUACUUGACAAAAAAAAUAAAUAAAUUGUUAAUAUGUCACACGCACUUAGUCAUUAAUUUUAUUAUUUUUGACAAAUAGUCAUUAAAACUCAUGGAACCCACGUUCAUGAAGUUUUUUUUUUAAAGAGGUUCACUGGUUGAUUUAGGUGUUAGACUAUUUUCUUCUUAAAUUAACAAUAACUGAAAUUAAUCUGUGAAAUGAAUUUUUUUUUUAAGUCACCAUUGUUUUUUAUUGACCAAUUCGGUCUUUAAGAUAGUCUCAGAUAUUGAUUGAUACAAGGAAAGUAUUUUUAAUUUUAUAAUGAUUUCAUAAAUUCUUUAAUUUUAGGAUCGACUUAUGUAAUUUUUUUAGUACAAAUUGAGUGGUUUGUUUUUCUAUUUCACAUGGCUAACUGUAUUUUCCCUUCAUUUUUCGUGACUUUUAUUUCUCUUUUGCAACAAGUGCUGAAAUAAACUGUUAACAAGAAACUGUUUUCAUUAAUCAUGUUUCUUUUGAAGGGUUUCCUAGACUUAAAAGAUUGGAGACAUUAGAUCUUUCAGGGAACUAUCUAAAUAGUAGCAUUUUGCCAAGUUUAAAUGGAUUGACUGCUCUAACAACUUUGAAGUUGGGUUCUAAUUUGAUGAAAAACUUCUCUGCUCAAGGUACGUUUUGUUUCAAUAAUUUAUUUAUGGAGUUUAUGUGAUGAAGUGAAUGAAUUAAGAAGACAAUUAUAAGAUCCCCAAGAAAAUAUUAAUUUUUAACGAUAAUAAGAAACUUUAAAUAAAAUGAAAAACUGGUUAUGAAUCAUUGGUAGGAAUUGAAAUUAAUUAACAAAAGCUUUUCAUUAGGAGGAAAGAAAUCGGAAUAAAAAGUGAAUGCAAUACUUGUUUGCACACUUAAAACUACUCAUCAUUAUGUAUAUUGUUCAAGGAUUUUCGAGAUCAAAGGAGUUGGAAGUCUUAGACCUUUCAGGAAAUAGGCUGAAUUGCAACAUCAUAUCAAGUUUGCAUGGAUUCACAUCAUUAAGGAGUUUGAUUCUAAGUGAUAACAAGUUCAAUUGUUCUUUCUCCACUUUCGGUACACAUCUUCAAUUCUUAUAUUAUGAUGAAUGUUUUUAUUUUCAUUUUUUAAAAAGAACUAUAUUAUGUCCUUGCUACAGAUUUUGCCAAAUUUAGUCGGCUAGAACUAUUGGACUUGAGUAUCAAUGGAUUUGGUGGUUCUCUACAUGUGGAAGGUACCUGUACUAUUAUUAUUGUUGUUUGUUAUUUUUUUGGGCACAGCAGAUAUAUAAUGUCACUCUCCACACAAUACUCUUUAGACACUGUGGAGCCUUGAGCUUCCAUAAAUUUUUCCACAAACCUGCAUUCUCAUCCAAAGGUGGUUAUGGACUUUGACUAGCCAUUUCCUCUUUGACGCGAUAGGUUGCCGACUUCAAUGAGUAAAUGCCAUCUUUAUCAUAUUCCCAUACCAAUUUCUCAUCUAGGAUUCUCCAAGAAUUUGAGAUUUCAUCUUCUUGUUUUGUCAUAUGCACCACUUCAUUCCCAAAUAUAUUCAUUAAGAUCCUAAUGCAUAAUUUGGUUGGUAACCAAUAUGAGCAAUGAAUUCUCAGUGGAAACUAGUCUUCAACGCUAUUCUCUAACUAUGUACUCUCUUUUUUUCCUGCAGAUGUUCAACAUUUGAAAAACUUGAAAAUGUUAAGUUUAAGAAAUAAUCAAAUGAACGGCUCAAUUGAAGGUAUCAAUACUACCAAACACAAAUAAUUAAUUCAUAAUUGCUUCACGGGAUGGUUUUGGGGAUGGAUUGUUACAAUGAAGAUAACUUUUAUAUUGAUUUUAAAUUUUAAAUAAUUAACAAAAAGAAUGAAAUAAGUUAAUUAAUGUAUAUAUUGACGCCAUUGGAAAAACUUUUAAGAUUUUUAUGAUAAUGUCAAUUUUUGUAUAGAUGACAGGACAUAGUUAAUUAAUUAUGACAGGACUAUGCAAUUUGAAGGAUUUGGUAGAAUUGGAUAUCAGCUAUAACAUGUUUAGUGCUAAACUUCCAGAGUGUUUAAGCAACUUAACAAACCUUAGAGUUCUUGAACUUAGUAAUAAUCUGUUCAGUGGAAAUUUUCCAUCUUUCAUUAGCAAUCUCACAUCACUGGCAUACUUAUCCUUCUAUGGAAAUUACAUGCAAGGAUCAUUUUCAUUGAGCACUUUGGCUAAUCACUCAAAUCUUCAGCAUCUAUAUAUUUCACCGGAAAACAGUGGAGUUCUCAUUGAAACUGAAAAGACAAAGUGGUUUCCCAAAUUUCAAUUGAAGACACUCAUUCUUAGAAAUUGCAACCUAAACAAGGAGAAAGGAGGUGUCAUUCCUACUUUUCUUUCAUAUCAAUAUAAUUUGAUAUUCUUGGACCUCUCCAGAAACAAUUUAGUUGGUUCAUUCCCAAGUUGGUUGAUAGAUAAUCAUAACAUGAAUUAUUUGGAUAUAUCAAACAACAAUUUGAGUGGUUUGCUUCCAAAAGAUAUUGGUAUAUUCCUUCCUAGUGUUAAGUAUUUGAACUUUUCAUGGAAUAGCUUUGAAGGAAAUAUACCUUCAUCAAUUGGUAAGAUGAAACAACUUGAGUACUUGGACCUCUCUCAGAAUCAUUUCUCAGGUGAGUUACCUAAACAACUGGCCACAGGUUGUGAUAAUUUACAAUACUUGAAGCUCUCCAACAACUUUCUACAUGGGAAGAUUCCAAGAUUUUCAGUGAAUAUGUUUGGGUUAUUUCUUAAUAAUAACAACUUUAGUGGAACACUUGAAGAUGUAUUGGAAAACAAUACAGGAUUAGGAAUGUUAUUCAUAUCCAAUUACUCAAUCACAGGCAAAAUUCCUAGUUCAAUUGGGAUGUUUUCUGAUAUGCAAGUCCUUCUUAUGUCCGGAAAUCUAUUAGAAGGUGAGAUCCCUAUUGAGAUUUCCAACAUGGCCAUUCUUCAAAUGUUGGAUCUUUCUCAAAACAAGUUAAAUGGAUCGAUCCCAAAGUUCAGUAGUUUGACAUCUCUAAGGUUCUUGUAUUUGCAAUAGAAUGAUCUCUCUGGAUCAAUACCAUCUGAACUCUCUGAAGGCUCACAACUACAACUUCUAGAUUUAAGGGACAACAAAUUUUCAGGUAAAAUUCCCAAUUGGAUGGAUAAGCUCUCAGAGUUAAGGGUCCUUCUAUUAGGAGGGAACAAUUUUGAAGGAGAUAUUCCAAUUCAAUUGUGUCCUUCUAAAAAAGAUCAACAUAAUGGACUUAUCACGGAACAUGCUCAAUGCUUCAAUACCAUCUUGCUUUCAAAAUAUGUCAUUUGGAAUGAGACAAUAUGUUGAUGCUCACGGUUUUGAAUUCUCAAUGUCCGAAGGUUUCACAGGUGAAUUUAUUCCAAAUUUGAAUUCUUUCUUCAAUGCUAGUUUGUCUAUUGGGCAGUUUUUUAAUGAAAAUUCGUUGGAUGAAGAUCUAGAAUUUGAAGUGCAGUUUAGAACAAAGCACUAUGAUUACUUUUACAAGGGUAUAGUUCUAAAGAUCAUGACUGGAUUGGAUUUAUCAUGCAAUAAGCUAACAGGUGUCAUCCCUUCUCAAAUUGGAGACCUACAACAAAUUAAAGCCUUGAAUCUAUCACAUAAUUACUUGUCUGGUCCUAUUCCAAUAACUUUUUCAAAACUUACCCAAAUAGAGAGCCUUGACUUAUCAUACAAUAACUUGAGUGGUAAGAUUCCUUAUGAACUAACCAAGUUGACCUCUUUAGAAAUCUUCAAUGUGUCAUACAACAACCUUUCUGGAACACCACCUAGCACAAGACAAUUUGCAAACUUUGAUGAGUACAACUACAGAGGUAAUCCCGGUCUUUGCGGACAACUCCUAAAUCAAAAGUGUGAACGUGUCGAGUCUUCACCUUCAUCACAAUCCAAUGACAAUGGAGAAAAGCAAACCAUGGUGGACAUGAUAACAUUUUAUUGGAGUUUCAUAACAUCUUAUAUUACAAUACUAUUGGCCUUCAUAACUGUGUUGGGCAUCAAUCCACGUUGGCGUAUGGCCUGGUUUUAUUACAUCAGUAAGUUUAUGCGUAGAUUCUUUCCAUCUUUUCCAUUAUAUUGAUGAGUGUCCAUAGUUCCUGUUGAAACUUUAUGUGGAGUCUAAAAUAUUUGGAUACUGUAUUUUUUAUAUUUACCGUUAAUUCCAGACAGUUUGAGACAUUGGCUUUUAAGCUCCUCUUGUCAACUUUAUGUUCAUCAUGUUGUUUGUGUGAUGUACUUAUCUGGAGAACUUUGAAGAUAUUGUGAUAUAUUAUUUUUGAAGAUCCAAGAGUUCCUCAAAUAGCUCUGAGACCUGUUUCAAAGAUCCAUCAAAUGACGUUCUGCAGCCAUUGACCCGGCAGCAGCCAUUGAUUCUGUGACAGGCCCUAUGCUAGAGUAUUAUUGAAAAGACGAAAAGAAAACGAGCAAAAACUGUUUUUUACUCGAGAGCAUGCUCUGUCGAUGGAAUCAUUCCCUUCUAGAGAGCCUUGUGUACAAUACUAACUCCAAUGCCAUUAAUAUUUGCCUUUAGUUUUCUUUUGUCAAUAAUAAUUCUUCAAGCACCAAAUCGGUCCAUGUCUAAGCCACUCAAAUUAAUCACUAACUCUAUUAAUAUUUCAAAUUAUUCAUUUUUUUUAUCAAAAGUUUCUGAACCAGAUCCUUCGACAUGUGACAAAAACAUAAAGAAAAGGUUCUAAUUGACAAACUUUUGACUAAGUGCUUUUGUAAGUAAUUCAUUAUGAGACCCUACGUUUUACAGUUGCUUUCAUAAUGUUAUUGUUUUUUCAUUGAAAGGUUUAGCUCUCGUAUUAACACUUUAGUUGUUUUCUAUAAAAGUAACUUCUUAUAUUUUUCAAAUAACUGGAAUGUCAAUGUAGGUUGAAUCUGGGUGCAGAACUAUGACAGAAGCGAUAUUACGAGUAGAUUUACACAUUUGUCUUAAAAUGACCGAAAUUAAUAAAUAGGUAAGAGUAUAAUAGAAAAAUUAGCAUUAAUGUUUUAUUGUUACUGUAAAACAAUUAUUUUUUUAUUUGUCCUCGUGAGUUUAACUCAGUUGGUAUAGAUAAUGUAUAAUAUAUGUAAGGUCCAGGUUCAAAUCCCAGCCAAAAAAAAAAAAAAAAACAAUUUCUUUUUUCUUUCCUGAAUUAUAAUUUGAGAUGGAGAGAGUAUUAAUUAAACUAGUAAUGUUAACAUACGUAUUUAAUCUUGCAAGAUAACAUUAGCAUCUUUGUCAAAUAUCAUCAUCUCUAGUCAACUCCAAGUCUUUCCUGAGGUUCCAGGAAGUUUCUUGCAAUUAAAAAGUCCCAUCUUUUUUUUUUUAGCAAAGACAAAAUUAAUGCAUUUCAUUCAAAAACAAAAAGUAACAAAGUUGAAGGUACACUAUAAAAAAGAUGGGGGCUAAGAUGAGAUAAGGAAGCUCUAGCUAUACUAUGAGCAACCCUAUUAGCUUGUCUCCUAAUAUACGACACUUUAAAGUCGGUAUUUGUAAACAAGAGACCUCUACAUUGAGAAAUAAUGUCUCCAACUUCAUUGAGGUGAGCGGAGGUAGUGUGAAUGGCAUCAGCAAGGGUCAUACAAUCUGUUUCAAAGCGGACAGUUUGAAAUCCCAAAGAGAUUGCCAAUUUUAUCGCCUCCGACAAUGCAGUAGCUUCAGCUUCUAAAACAGUCAUCGAGGAUGGAAAAAAUGCAGAUUUUGCAAUUAAGAGUUUCCCCUCCGAAUUUUGAAAACAGAUUUCAUAUCCAACAAUUGAUUAUGGUGGAAAAUUGCUGCGUCAACGUUGCAUUUUAUCACACCGGAAGGCGGUUUAACCCAAGAGAUGAUGUGGUUUGAAUUUUGAACCUGUAGUUUAGCUCUUUACAUACAAGUCCAUUCGUGGAGUGUAUCCUUUGCUCGAGUAAUAACAACAGUGGCUGGUGUAUUGGAAGACUCCCAAAGUCCCAUCUUUUAGUAUAAGGUGAAUACAGGAAUUUGGGGCAAGACCGAAAAGUCCCAAUAUAAUUGAUUCUUGCAGGAAAGAAAGACACUUACAAAACUAAAUGAUAUUCACCGUCAAUUUACAGAUUUUUUACACUCGCAAUUGUCAUAUCAUUAAAACCAUUUAACUUCAUUGAUAACUACUUCUAAAAUUACAUAAAUAUGAUUUGAUUGUGAUUUGUUAAUAAUAUAAUAUUUUUAAAUUGACAGUGUAUAUAAAAAAUUAACUAUGGCUACAUCAAGGUUUAUUAUAUCAUAGUUUAAAAAGUGAAUACUUUUUCCUCUCCUCACUGAUUCCAUUUUUUUUCUUCCGAUGUAAGCAUGAAUCGAAAGUUUUCAGUUUGAAGAGAAUAAGAAUUUUGGGGAGUUCUCUGAUUUUCCUUACCCUGUUAGCUCAAUUUCACUGACUUAGAACAUAGAAGAGGAAUGGAAAAUUCAAAUACAAAAUCUAGGCAAUGGCCAGCAUUUUAAGUAUAAUAGAUGGGGAAAAAAAGUAUUUAGAAGGAAAUAAUUAAGAUUUAUUGAUAUUGAAAAAAAAAAUAAGAUUUAUUGAUAUUGUAAAAUGAUAUGUAAAAUGAUAUAUAUAGUUUCUAAACUAAUUCAUAUAGUUACUAUUAUAGUAUUUUUGAAUCCUCAUGAGGACAUUAUUGUUCUUCCUAUCAAUCAAGUUAAGAAAUUAAUUCAUAUUGUUUAAACUCAACACCCUCGAGACUAGGGUUUCUAGUGUCAUAAAGAAUUGACUGAAAAGAGAAAUUUUAUUUGGUUUAAUCGAAAGACUCUAUUAGGACAGUCAUGAUACUAAUUUGCUUAUUAUAACUUUGUAGCUACAUAAGAUGGAUGACAAUACAGUGUUUCUUAAUGACAACAUUAAUGAUACAAUAUGGUGCAACUGAAGAAAACUUUCGUGUCAAUUGAUAUAAAAGUAGAUGAUUUGCAAAAUCAUGUAAUCCACUUAUGAGUUAAGAAAUUUGUCUCUUUAGUGUUACCAUAAAUUUUGAUAAAGUAAUUGUCUCAUUUGGUUUUGAGAUAAUAUUAUGAAGAAUUGUGGAUUUAGUAAGCUCAGUGGGGGUAAACUUAUAUUUCUAGUUUAAUGUGCCGGUUUUAUUUUAUUUAGUCAACUAUGAUAUAUGUUCGUUGUGUGAAACCAAGAAAUCUCUAACAAAAGUUUGGUGAUGAAAGAUCUUAGGGACACCUCUUUUGUUUAAGCAUUUUUGAUACUUAGAGAUACUUCUCAAGGUAUCCUUCAGAUGAUGUCACAAAAGAAUUAUAUCAAUAAAGUUGAAAAUGAAAUGACAUAAUUUUUUGGAUGAUCUCAAUCACCGAGAGAGACUUUUCAGUCUCAAAUAUUGCCCAAUUAAAAAAUUUAUGAAUUCAUAAAUUUAAGUAUUUUCCUACAUUUUACCUAUAGGAUUUUUAUGUAUGAUUUUAUUAUACACAUUUGGAAAUAGCGUAUUUAAUGAGAUUGAAAUAUGAGAGGGGAAAGGAAAAGGUUAGAAGAUGUAGGGUAAAACUGAUUCUCAUUGAUUAACUACAUUGAUACAUGGCAUAUAUAGAGUCGUAUGAAAAGUUAGUUGAUAACAAACUAGCUUACUUGCCAAACAAGUAAGUCCAUAACUAACUAACAGACUAAUGAGAAUAAAACAAUGUUAUAUACCUAACAAUCACUCCCCUUGUUUGAAAAAUACUUCUAGCUUCAAAGGUUUAGUCUUGAUGUCUGCUGGUUGAUUAAUGUUUGAACUAUAAUAAGCAAAUUCCAUAACUCCUUCUUUUGUUAAGACCCUACGAAAAUAUAUGUGAUAUCUAUGUGCUUACAUCUUCCAUGCAUUGAAAGAUUCUUUGACAAUUUUCCUGAUGAAUAUAUGUACUACAGAUCAGGGCUGGCCAUGGACCUGUGCAAACAGUGCUACGACACAGGACUUCAAAGUUUUGAGGGCCUAAAUUUUAAAGGUCAAAAUUAUGAGUUAUGAUCUUCUUCAUUUUCCUUAUUUAUUACUAUAGCUUUGAAGAUUUUUAAAGUAUAUAUUAAAUAAUAGAAAAUGUUACGAAUGUCCACGAAAUAUUCUUUAAAGUCUUUAAAUUUGUGUAUUCAAUUAUGGUUUGAAAUUAAAGUAUUUUAUUUUCUAAGGAAUAAUUUCUUAAUUUGAUAUUCUUAAUGAGGACCUCGGAGACACUCGUUGGUCGUUAGUAGAACCUUUAAAUAAUUAAGGGCAAAUUACACUCACCUCUCUUGAGGUCUCUUUAAACAACACAUAUACCCCCUCUAGUUUUCAAAAACACUCACCUCCCCUCUAAACUAACUCUGCUAGCCUAAAAUGUUGAUUCUUAACAACCCUGAUUCAUUCCAUUACAGAAAAACUCCACUACAAUGAAAUCUUUAUCUACCGUGUAAAUUUAUAGGUUCGUCACCGGUAUUCAUACAUUCCACCGCUAUGGGCAACUCCAAAUCAAUUUCACCAUUCUCUAAACAAUUCUUAAAAGUAUAUCACUUUUAAAAAAGCGUACCGCACUAGCUAGAUGUACAUAGAAAGCAAGAACCAAUUUUUGACUUCAAGCAGGGCCCAAGUAAAAAGCAAAGCAUUGAAAUCAUUGCAAGAGCAGAAACGACCCUGCCAACAAUCAAGAUUUAAAAAUAAUUGCUGUUUUCUUUAGUGAUUAGUUACAUAAUGGAGUGUAGAAUGGUUACAAUAACAUAGAUUUUCAAAUCACUUAGAAUUUUAUAAUAUAGUUUAGGCACGGUCAUCACAUACCUAAUUAGUGAUUUAAAUUUGAUUUUUUAUAGUGAAAGAAUCUAUGUUUCUUAUGAUUUAUAAUUUUUUAACGAGUAAACAACAAUUUUGUUAUCUGAAUAUGUGACAAAUUAUCACCAUAGUCUUUGAUGUAUCGAAAUUACAAAUGCAUCUUCAAGUGUAUCUUUAAUUAAUCAUUAUCAUCUUCAAACAUAUUUCGUCGUUUAUCAUUUUAGUCCUUAAAAUGUAUCUUUAGUGAUGAUUUAUUAAUAUUAUAAAAUGUGAAAUAACUGGUACAAACUUUUUUACAUCUCAAUCAACCAACAAAUCCGUCCAAAAGUUAGAAUCUCUUCCAUCUCUUAUGACCUUUCUUAAAUUUCCCUCAAAUCACCCCGGUAAUGAUGAUAUAGACCUUAAAUCCCUCCACCAAACUGAACCAAUGUUUCUUACCAAAUUCAAACUAUCAUCAUAUUUGGCGUUUGUCUUUUAGCCCUAUUUUCUAAACAAACAAACAAACAUAAAUAAGUUGUAAAAAAGAGAGAAUUGAACUUAAAAUCUUAAGAUGAGUGUACUUUAUGAUCUCAAAUCAAUACCACGAGACACACUCAAAUGAGUUUCCACUUUCUAUUUCUCAUUGUUUCUAAUCUAUCCAUCCAUGAAGCACAAUACUCCUCGGGUUAAGGGUGUGUCCCGGUGUGAAAUAUGUAUCGUGUCCCACACCAACACCGACACCGACACAUAUCUCCGUGUCGUAACUGCAUCUGAGUUUGUGCUUCACAUCCUUCCAUCAACAUCAAUUCUAAGAGUAUUUUACAGAUCCACAUCCUAUGCAAGAAAUCACCCUUUCAUUGACCUUGCGAGUGUAUAUCCCCUCAAUUCUAUCCCAAAGCUUUAAAACAAUCAAGGAGCUCAAUUAUGCUUUGAGAAGACACUAACUAAUAGUAACUAAGGUCAUGGAAAUGGGAAGUGAAGUCAUUGAAACUCAACAAGACAUCAUUAAGUUGCUCCCACAAUGAAAUUGGAUCAAAUUCAAAACAAUCUCCAUCAUGAUCGUAAUAUGGAAUUAAGGAUGUGAUUUUGUGAUACAAUUUUUUUUGUUUCUUUCUUCAAAUUUACAGUAACUCUUUACAACUAUUACACACAUAUUUAAUAAAAUUUUACAAGCUUGUUGAAUUUCAAAAUUCAGUUUUAAGAUGAAAAUCAUACCCAUGAUAUCAAUAAAACUUCACUCCAAUUCAAAAUUAACUCGAUAUAUACACUUUUGAAAUAUAUAAAAAAUAAAUAAAAACAUCUUAUUGUAAACUUAUUUUUGAUUAAAUCUUAUAAGAUUUUAACAUAAAAAAUCAAUGUAAAUAGUUAUUCUAAAAAUAUCAUAUUAUAUCUAAAAUUUAUACUAUAUAUAAAGAAAACUACCCCUUUCAGCAUUUUAGGGUUGUAUUUUUUCUUCCAAAAAUACCCUAAAUUUUCAAAUACAAAUAACACAUGUAACAAACAAAUAGAUAAAAAUAAAUUUAAUAUUAAAACAAAUAUAACAAACACGAUAUGAAUAUAUAUAUAUCUUUGGUUUUUUUUCUUUUUCAUUUAAUAAGUGUAACAAACUAGAUGAGGAUAUUUAUACUUACUUUUACAUUAUUUCAAUUAAAUCCUCAAACAACUUUUUCUAUAAUAAAUAUUGUUAUUGGUUUCAUUAAAAUAAAAGAAUUUUAGAUUAUAUUUUUUUUGUUAUAUUGUUGGUGUAAUUGAAAUAGAUAAUCAUGGUUAGAUUGCUUUGUUAUAACUUGAAAAUAACAAACAUUUAUAUUUUUAAUUUUAAUCAAAAUAAAAUUUCAUAAAAAACAUCGUUCAUAAUUUUCAAAUGUUAGCGCAAUAAAAAGAGCGGAAAGACAGACAGGUGAGUGCCCGUCUUUUCGCUAGUCAUCAAUAAUGUAAGUGUACUGAAGUUUUAUCCAUUCUCAAGUUAUAUCACUGCCACAAAUUGUUCUAAACAAUUGUUUCAUUUAAUUAAGAAAUGUUAAAUAAGUCCCUUAAUAAAAAAUGAGAAUAUUUAACUGAAAAUUGAUUGGCGGUUUCACUCGCUAUCGGCAUUUGGUGGAACACCUUAAUCUUACUUAUCGGUAGACCUUUCCGUGGUCCAAUUCUUAAUUAAAGUAUCGAUUAUUAGGACUUAAGUCCAUGAGAAGAGCCUCAUGGUUUAAAUGACGCAUCAAGCACUUUGGUCUACUUGAUUUGGGACUCCUAACAUAUUCUUUGCAGCUAUAACAACGUUUCUUCGCAGCUUGAUAAGAUUUUGUGGCGGUAGUUUACGUGAUUUUUUUCUUCGAUAUAUUAAAACGGAAAACAAAGGUAUCAGACACUACCUAUACCUCUUUGCCAUAUCCAUUUUUAUGAUUACUGAUUGUAUUUUUAGAACCUUGGCAACUACUACCUCUGUCGUAAAUUAUAAGUUGUUUUGGUCAUUUCACACGUAUUAAAAAUUGAAAUUAAUUUGUAUAUGAAAGAGAUAUUAUGAGUUGCUUUACACAAUUAUCUUAAUAAAUAGUAUCAGAAAAAUAAAUUAAAGAAUUGAAAUGAGUAAUAUUAAUAAAUAGUUAAGAGUAUAAUAGAAAAAUUAUUACUAAUGUUUUUAUUGUUAUUGUAAAACAAUUUAUAAUUUGAGACAACUUUUUUUCCAUACUUAUAAUUUGAGACAGAGAGAGUAUUAAACUAAUAAUGUUCACAUACGUAUUUAGUCUUGCAAGAUAACAUUAGCAUUUGUCAUAUGUAAUCUUCUCUAGUCAACUUCAAAUCUUUCUUGUGCUUCGAGGAAAUUUUUUGCAAUUGAAAAGUCCCAUCUUUUAGUAUAAUAAUAUAAAGUGAAUACAGGAAUUUGGGGCAAGACUGAAAAGUCCCAAUAUAAUGAUUCUUGCUUGAAAAAAAAGACACUUACAAAACUGAAUGAUAUGUUAUCAUAUUUUUCGGGUAACAUCUUGCAAUUUUUACGAGUUUAAUUUAUAUGUGCCAUCAAUUUAAAGACUUUUUUAUGAUAACUACUUCUAAAAUUAUAGAUAUGAUUGAAUGUGAUUUGUUAAUAAUUUAACUUUUUUUACAUUGACGAUGUAUAUCAAAAUUAACUAUGGCUAUAUCAAGGUUUAUUAUAUCAUAGUUUAAAAAGUGAAUACUUUUUCCUCUCCUCACUGAUUCCUUAUUUUGUCCGAUGUAGGAAGGUCCCGAAAGUUUUCAGUUUGAAGAGAACAAGAAUUUUUGGGAGUUCUGAUUUUCCUUUCCCUAUUAGCUCAGGAAUGGAAAAUUCAUAUAAAAAAUCUAGGCAAUGGCUAAAACAGCAUUUUAAGUAUAAUAGAUGAGGAAAAAAAGCAUAAUAGAAGAAAAAAAAUUAAGAUUUAUUGAUAUUGGAAAAAAUUAAGAUUUAUUGAUAUUGUAAAAUGAUAUAUAAAUGGGAGAAAAAAAGUAAAUUGGGAGAAUUUUACUUCUUAUAACUUUAAUAAUCUUAUUUUAAACUGGUUAAACUUUUCUUAAUGACCGACGUUAGUAUAGUUAAUUACUUACCAUACUAUUUGUUAGAGGGAGGAGUUGAAUAAAUGACCUCUUUACCACUCAAUCCUUAUUGAAAGUAAUACGUAUUUAAAUAUCAUGUAAGAUAAGUUUAGCAUCUUUCUUAAAUGUCAUCAUCUCUAGUCAACUCCAAGUCUUUCUUUUGCUUGGAGGAAGUUUCUUGUAAUAGAAAAUAUCCCAUAAUUUUAGUAUAUAUAAUAUAAUAAUAUGAGAUGAUUAUAUGAGGUCGGGAAGAACUGCUCACAUUCCUAAAAAAAAUGAAGCUGGGUUUGAUAAAUAGUUUCCUUUUAUAUUUUGUGACAUUGAUGUUAAUGCUAACUCAAGGAUGUAACGGUUGCUUAGAGAAAGAGAGAAUAUCAUUGUUGGAGAUCAAACACUACUUCUUGUCACAAACAGGAGAUCCUUACAAUAAAUUGGGUUCAUGGGUUGAUGAUAGAGAUAGCAAUUGUUGUUCUUGGAACAAUGUCAAGUGCUCUAACAUCUCUUCGGGUCACAUAAUUGAAUUAUCCAUCCGAAAGUUACUAUUCGAUAUACCCUUUGAUAUGAAGUUAAAUGUUUCACUAUUCCGUCCAUUUAAAGAGCUACGGCUCCUCGACUUGUCCUACAACUCCUUUCUAGGCUGGAUUGGCAACGAAGGUACUACGUUCGUCCUUAUAUAUAAAAUUUCUUUAAUAAACUUAUACAAAUUAAAAAAGUUCAUUAAUUUUUAUUUGUUGUGUUAAAUUUAUUAACAUUUUAAUUUAUAUUGUCAUAAUUAGCAAUAAUUGACGGGUGAGUUUAAGUUUUCUAAAAAAGAUUGUUAUUUUACAACAUGAAAAUUCAAUGUUCAAAUCUCAAUUAAGAGAGAUGUCAGUACUUUCUAUUUAUUACAAUAUCUUAUAUACGAAUUAAAAAUCAAUGAUCUUAUAAAAUUUGGUGGGAUCAAUAUAAAUUUCAACCAAUACAAACAUAAGUGUUGUAAAUAGUAUAUCACUAGCAUAAUUAAAAAAUACAUAAUACAAGAGAGAAUUUUCUUAUAGGUACAAGAGAGAUAUUUUUACUGAAGCCUUUUAUAGUGUUGUAAAAAGUGUGGUAAAUAGUGUGUUACUAGCAUAAUUAAAAAAAUAUUGUUAUAUUUGUCGUUGUAUCCAUCAAUUUGGUCUCUCUAAGAUAGUCUCAGAUACUAAUUAAAACUAUGAAAGUGUUUAUAAUUUUACGAUGAUUUUAUAAAUUCUUUAAUUUUAGGAUCGAGCUCUGUAAUUUUUUAGGCCAAUUGAGGGAUUAAUUUUUCUAUUUUAUUGUUCUCUUUCAUUUAUUAAUUUUUCUAUUUCAUGGUUCACUGUUUUUUUGUUCUCUUUCAUUUUUCAUGACUUUUGUUUCCAUAUUGUAACAAAUUUAAAAAUAAACCAUUGACAUAAACAUUUUUCAUUAAUCACUGUAUUUUCCCUUCAUUUUUCGUGACUUUUAUUUCUCUUUUGCAACAAAUGCUGAAAUAAACUAUUAACAAGAAACUGUUUUCAUUAAUCAUGUUUCUUUUGAAGGGUUUCCUAGACUUAAAAGAUUGGAGACAUUAGAUCUUUCAGGGAACUAUCUAAAUAGUAGCAUUUUGCCAAGUUUGAAAGGAUUGACUGCUCUGACAACUUUGAAGUUGGUUUCCAAUUCGAUGGAAAACUUCUCUGCUCAAGGUACAUUUUGUUUCAAUAAUUUAUUUAUGGAGUUUAUGUGAUGAAGUGAAUGAAUUAGAAUACAAUUAUAAGAUCCCCAAGAAAAUAUAAUUUUUAACGAUAAUAAGAGACUUUAAAUAAAAUGAAAAAGUGGUUAUGAAUCAUCGGUAGGAAUUGAAAUUAAUUAACAAAAGCUUUUCAUUAUGUAUAUAUAUUGUUGAAGGAUUUUCGAGAUCAAAGGAGUUGGAAGUCUUAGACCUUUCAGGAAAUAGGCUAAAUUGCAACAUAAUAACAAGUUUGCAUGGAUUCACAUCAUUAAGGAGUUUGAUUCUGAGUUACAACAACUUCAAUUGUUCUCUCUCCACUUUAGGUAAACAUCUUCAAUUCUUAUAUUAUGACGAAUGAUUUUAUUAUCAUUUAUUAAAAAGAAAUAAAUUAUGUCCUUGCAACAGAUUUUGCCAAAUUUAGUCGGCUAGAACUAUUGGACUUGGGUGGUAAUCAAUUUACUGGUUCUCUACAUGUUGAAGGUACUUUUACUGUUAUUGUUGUUUCAAAUAUUACAAAGAAACACAAAAUUUAUUAUUACUAUUUAUGGCAAAACAAUUUAUAUAUAGGAAAAUUUCUUCUAUUUGAGAAAUUCAGACUUUGUUUAGGAAUUUAAAAUCCACAUUAUAAAUCAUAUUCUCAAUAGAAACUCUAAGUUAAUGAGUUUACAAUCUCUAAUUAAAUUCAAUAAAAUAAUUCUCCACACAAUUCGCCACAUUAUAAAUCAUAUUCUCAAUAGAGGCUUCCAUAAAUAUUUCCACAAACCUGCAUUCUCAUCCAAAGGUGGUUAUGGACUUUGUCUAGCCAUUUCCUCUUUGACGCGAUAGUAUGCCGACUUCAAUGAGUAAAUGCCAUCGUUAUGCAAAAUUAAGUUCAGGAAAAACGUGAGUAAUUUUGGCAGAAUAAAAAUAACAAAGACAUCAAGCCUCAAUUCUAUCAAUAAUAUAACCUUAUCGUUUAAUGCUAAUACUUUGACACCAAGUCAAACAUAAUCUGUUCUUCAAAAAUAAUAGUCAAACAUAAUUUGAAUUUUUUUUUGGGGAAUAGUUCUUACCGAUUUAUUUAUUGAAAAUUAUAUCUCUAACUAUGUACUCUCUUUUUUUUUCUUCUGCAGAUGUUCAACAUUUGAAAAAUUUGAAAAUGUUAAGUUUAAACGAUAAUCAAAUGAACGGCUCAAUUGAAGGUAUCAAUACUACCAAACACAAAUAAUUAAUUCAUAAUUGCUUCACGGGAUGGUUUUGGGGAUCGAUUGUUACAAUGAAGAUAACUUUUUUUUUUAUUUUAAAUUUUAAAUAAUUAACAAAAACAACGAAAUAAGUUAAUUAAUGUAUAUAUUGACGCCAUUGGAAAAACUUUUAAGAUUUUUAUGAUAAUGUCAAUUUUUGUAAAGAUGACAGGACAUAGUUAAUUAUGACAGGACUAUGCAAUUUUAAGGAUUUGGUAGAACUGGAUAUCAGCAAAAACAUGUUUAGUGCUAAACUUCCAGAUUGUUUAAGCAACUUAACAAACCUCAGAGUUCUUGAACUUAGUAAUAAUCUGUUCAGUGGAAAUUUUCCAUCUUUCAUUAGCAAUCUCACAUCACUGGCAUACUUAUCCUUCUAUGGAAAUUACAUGCAAGGAUCAUUUUCAUUGAGCACUUUGGCUAAUCAUUCCAAUCUUGAGGUUCUAUAUAUUUCAUCAAAAAACAAUAUUGGAGUAGACAUUGAAACUGAAAAAACAAAGUGGUUUCCUAAAUUUCAAUUGAAGUCACUUAUUGUUAGAAAUUGCAACCUAAACAAGGACGAAGGAAGUGUCAUUCCUACUUUUCUUUCAUAUCAAUAUAAUUUGGUAUACUUGGUCCUCUCCAGCAACAAUAUAAAUGGCUCACUCCCAAGUAAUUGGUUGAUACAUAAUGAUGACAUGAUAUAUUUGGAUAUAUCAAACAACAAUUUGAGUGGUUUGCUUCCAAAAGAUAUCGGUAUAUUCCUUCCUAAUGUUACCUAUUUGAACUUUUCAUGGAAUAGCUUUGAAGGAAAUAUACCUUCAUCAAUUGGUAAGAUGAAACAACUUCAACUCUUGGACUUCUCUCAAAAUCAUUUCUCAGGUGAGUUACCUAAACAACUGGCCACAGGUUGUGAUAAUUUACAAUACUUGAAGCUCUCCAACAACUUUCUACAUGGGAACAUUCCAAGAUUUUGUAAUUCAGUGAAUAUGUUUGGGUUAUUUCUUAAUAAUAACAACUUUAGUGGAACACUUGAAGAUGUAUUAGGAAAUAAUACAAGAUUAGAAACGCUGUCCAUAUCCAAUAAUUCAUUCUCAGGCACAAUUCCUAGUUCAAUUGGGAUGUUUUCUAACAUGUGGGCCCUUCUUAUGUCUAAAAAUCAAUUAGAAGGUGAGAUCCCUAUUGAGAUUUCCAGCAUAUGGCGGCUUCAAAUUUUAGAUCUUUCUCAAAACAAGUUAAAUGGAUCAAUCCCACCUUUAAGUGGUUUGACUCUUCUAAGGUUCUUGUAUUUGCAAGAGAAUGGUCUCUCUGGAUCAAUCCCAUAUGAACUCUAUGAAGGCUUCCAACUACAACUUCUAGAUUUGAGGGAGAACAAAUUUUCAGGAAAAAUUCCCAACUGGAUGGAUAAGUUCUCAGAAUUAAGGGUCCUUUUAUUAGGAGGGAACAAUUUUGAAGGAGAAAUUCCAAUGCAGUUGUGUCGGUUAAAAAAGAUCAACAUAAUGGACUUAUCACGAAACAUGCUCAAUGCUUCCAUACCAUCUUGCUUUCGAAAUAUGUUAUUUGGAAUGAGACAAUAUGUUGAUGCUGUUUUUGACCUCUCAUCCAUCUUAUAUGGCCAACAUAUACAAGACACACAUUAUUUCUUCGAUUCUAGUUUGUCGAUUGAUCUUCCAUUGGAAAAAGAUCAAUUGAUUGAAGAUCUACUACAUUUGGAAGUGGAGUUCAGAACAAAGCACUAUGAAUACUUUUACAAGGGUAAAGUUCUAGAGAAUAUGACUGGAUUGGAUUUAUCAUGCAAUAAGCUAACAGGUGUCAUCCCUUCUCAAAUUGGAGACCUACAACAAAUUAGAGCCUUGAAUCUAUCACAUAAUCACUUGUCAGGUCCCAUUCCAAUCACUUUUUCAAAUCUUACCCAAAUAGAGAGUCUUGACUUAUCAUACAAUGACUUGAGUGGUAAGAUACCCAAUGAACUAACCCAGCUAAACUUUUUGUCAACCUUCAAUGUGUCAUACAACAACCUUUCUGGAACACCACCUAGUAUAGGCCAGUUUGCAAACUUUGAUGAGGAUAACUACAGAGGUAAUCCCAGUCUUUGUGGACCACU